GUAAAAGCCUCAGCCUUUUCCCACUCAUUUUAGAAGGGAAAGGGAAGCUGGAGUGUGCAGAAAUCACACAGUGAAAUAGAAAGCAGGAAUGAGAAAUGGGAGGUGCCAGGCUCUUUUUAACAACCAGUUCUCAUGGAACUAAUAAAGUGAGAAUGCACUCCCCUGGAAAGUAAUCAAAAAUGCCCCAGUGAAGAAAAGUUCUGAACCAGAUAGUUUUACUGGUGAUUUCUACCAAACAUUUAAAGACAAUCAACAGUUGACUUAAUAAGCCCAUUUCAUUAACAGAUGCACAUUGCAUCUAUUAAUGAAUCACUUCACCCAUGGAAUGGCAGGCUCCAGAGGGGCUAUGAAAUGGUGGUGCCUCAGGCAAUCACCUGCCGUCAUGUCACCCUUGAAAGGUUGAAUGUUUUGUCCAUCUGGUGGAGGUGAGAAUUGAACUUAAAGCCUAGUGAAGCUAUGUAUUUACCUUGCCCCUCUUUGCAGGGACAGAGUCAAUCUCUGGUUCCCCCUAUAUUUCUCAGGAUGGGAGGAAAUGGGGAUCCUUCUUCCUAUAUCAUGGAAGGGAGAAUGAGGACCUCACAAAGGAAAGAAACUCACUACAUCUGUCAGAAGUAAGGCCUGCCUGAAAUCAGUGAGGCUCAUCGCAGCCCAAAAUUCAGGCAGUGAGAAAUUCACCAAAGUGGCCUUUCUGAGGAGAAUUAGAGAAAUGUUUGAGGCUCAUAGAUAGGCACCUAGAAACGCCAUGAAGAAAGUCACAAAUAAUGCCUCAAAUGAUGUGCUCAAAUCACGCUAGAGUGAAAAAAUUGGAAACACCACCUUUACCAUGAAUUUCUCUUUUUUUUUUUUUUUCGAGACGGAGUCUUGCUCUGUCACCCAGGCUGGAGUGCAGCAGCACAAUCAUGGCUCACAGCAAGCUCCACCUCCCGGGUUCAUGCCAUUCUCCUGCAUCAGCCUCCCGAGCAGCUGGGACUACAGGUGACCACCACCACGCCUGGUUAAUUUUUUUGUAUUUUCAGUAGAGACGGGGUUUCACCAUGUUAGCCAGGAUGGUCUUGAUCUCCUGACCUCGUGAUCUGCCUGCCUUGGCCUCCCAAAGUGCUGGGAUUAUAGGCGUGAGCCACCACGGCCAGCCUUUACCACGAAUUUCUAAUAGCUCCCUAGGCCAAGGUGUUUUUUCUCUCCUCUGUCUCCUCUCUCGUAGCAAAUUCCUACCGCACACAAACAGGGAAGAAGAGCCCUUGUCACUUGUCCAGAACAGUGUGGGAGCUGUUGGGUGCUGGCUGUGGGAAGGUACACACCUUGACAGGUUUCUGGCCUGGAGAACGAGGGGAGAAAGUUCCCUCCAGGGUGCCCCUCAGUUUGGGCCCUUAAGGUAAUCAGAGCCAGCGGAUGUUGAGAGUUUGAGAGGUUCAGUAAGGUUCCUAGAGCCACAGGACAGGAGGGAGCUGUUGGUGGUUGGGGAGACAGUUGGAGAAAGUUCCAGGGGAGUUCCAGGGAGGAGCCGAUAUGUAGGGCAGGAGAGAAUAGGAAAAAAAAGAAUGGGUGGGUUUGCCAGCAUUCCUCCUUCCAAGGAUUCUAAGGAAAAGAGUGGAAACUGCGGAGACAAUUCUCUUACCGUUUCUCCUUUCAAGAUGCACAGAGAGUCAGGCAGAAGGGACACUAGAGUGCAGGAAAAGAAGGCCGCAGAGACAGGUGCAGAAGGUUGGAGGGAGGAACCACUGAGACCAGCGUCCGUGGAAAGAUGUCCAACGUUUGACCACGGAGAGCAACAGGCCCUCAGCCACAGACAGGAGAGAUCGGGAUUGACAACUAUCUUCAGAGCUCCCAGUCUGCGGGCAUUGAUUGACUGAUUAAGGCGGAGUUUCACUCCUGUUGUCCAGGCUGGAGUGCAAUGGCUCGAUCUGGGCUCACUGCAAGCUGUGCCUCCCGGGUUCAAGCGAUUCUCAUGCCUCAGCCUCCUGAGAAGCUGGUAUUACAGGCACCCACCACCAUGCCCAGCUAAUUUUUUUUGUAGUUUUAGUAGAGGCGGGGUUUCACCACAUUGGCCAGUCUGGUCUCAAACCCCUGACCUCAGGUGAUCCACUGGCCCUGGCCUCCCAAAGUGCUGUGAUUAUAGGUGUGAGCCACCCACCGCACCUGGCCAUCACGGGGAUUUAGAAUCAUCCCCUUCCCCAACAAGUGUGGCCUGGAGCCUGCAGAAUAAUGGAGACCACCACCACCUGGCUCAGACCCAGGUCUUCCAGGCUGGCUCACACUUGGGUAAGGUUCUGCCAAUCAGGUAACUAAGCCCAGGGCAAGUACGUGGUUUUCAGGUCCUGGGUUUCCUGCUGUGUUUUAAAUGACCACACCUGGAACCAUCUCCUUACUUUCUUUCUAGAGAAUUCCUCCCAGGAAAAUCAACAAAUCAAUGAGAAGUCAAACACUUACCCAGUAGUUUUGCACAGUAGAGCACCUGAGGAAUUCGUGAAAAACACCAAUGCCUGGCCCCACCCCAGGUGAAUUAGACCAGAAUUUCGGAGGGUGAAGCCUAGACAUGGAGGGUUUCAAAUGCUUCCCAGGUGACUCGCAUAUGCAGCCAGGCUGGGGAGUCCUUGUAUUCAAUCUAGAUAAAUAGCAGGCAUGCGGCAGGUGCUGAAGGUGCAAAGAUGAACAAGGUGAGGAUCCCGCUCUUGAUAAACUCACAGCUUAGAAGGGAGAUGAGCAUCCAAACAAACAAACAGCCAGGUGUGGUGGCUCAAACCUGUAAUCCCAACAUAAUGGGAGGCUGAGGCAGGAGGAUUGCUUGAAUCAAGGAGUUCAAGACCAGCCUGGGCAACAUAGUGAGAACCCCCACCACCCCACCCCCCACCACCCCCACCAUCUCUACAAAAAGAAAGAAAGAAAGAAAGAAAAAAAUUAGCCAUGUGUGGUAGUGCACACCUUGAGGCUGAGGAGGGAGGAAUGCUUGAGCCUGGGAGGUAGAGGCUACAGUGAGCCAUGUUUGUGCCACUGCACUUCAGCCUAGAGUGAGACUCUGUCUAAAGAAAACAAAACAAAACAAAAAAACACAGAAAACAAAAUCACCAACUGUGGGCCGGGUGUAGUGGCUCAUGCCUGUAAUCCUAACACUUUGGGAGUCCAUGGUGGGCGGAUCACUUGAGGUCAGGAGUUUGAAACCAGCCUGGCCAACAUGGUGAAACCCCGUCUCUGCUAAAACUUCAAAAAAAGUAGCCAGGUGUGGUGGCACACACCUAUAAUCCCAGCUACUUGGGAGGCUGAGGCAGGGGAAUUGCUUGAACCUGGGAGGUGGAGGUUGCAGUGAGCCAAGAUCACACCACUGCACUCCAGCCUAGGCAACAGAGUGAGACUCCAUCUCAAAAAAAAAACAAAAUCACCAACUGUGUGCUGAGUUCAGUCAUAGAAGCACUCCCAGAUUAAAGAGGAGGGUGCGUUAAUCAUGUUUUUUAAAAAAAUUUUUUUAGAGGAUAGGGUCUUACUCUGUUGCCCAGGCUGGAGUGCAGUGGUGCAAUCAUAGCUCACUUCAGCCUUGACCUCUUGAACUCCCGACCUCAGGUGAUCCCCCCCGCCUCGGCCUCCCUAAGUGCUGGGAUUACAGGCAUGAGCCACUGUGCCUGCCUAUGUUUUUAAUUUUCUGUAUUUUAUGAUGGUUUGACAUCUUGAGGGCCCUGCUGGCCUGGAAGAGACUGUCCCUCCCAGGGCUAGCUAAUUCCUAAGAUAGUAAAUAACUUGCCUGUGAACUUGCCUUUCAUGUGCACAUCAGCCAAUUCAUUCCCCAACCCCCAACCACCUCCUUUAUCUACUGUCACACCGAGCCAGUAUUACCCCUGCCCUAAAUCACCCCAGACCAACAUCAUACAAACCAGCCAAUCCUCAACCAGC
rnacentral:lncRNA from 10 species